AUUUAUAUAUUUGUGUUUAAGGGUCCAAACUGUGGAACUGCGGAAUCCUAUUGCUUUUGUUCUUUUUUUUUCUCCACCUAAAUGUGUUUGUGCAGCAAAAUCCGUCAGAAAUGUGAAAUGUGACACUCAGACCGACAGACAGACAGACACUCAGACAAACAUUCCAACAGACUCUCACUCAGACAAAUAGACACUGAGACAUAGUGCACCUUUAAAUGUGAGACCAUCACUCAUAAAGGGGAGGCGCGUGCUGACCAUCUAAUAGAUGAUGCCGCUAAUCAAAGCGUCAGGAACAGGGAGACCAUUUUUGGACAUGGGUAUCUGGAAGCCCAGAAAGGCUUUUCGUAAGAGUUAGUAAGGCAACACCUGUAGGUGGAGUCAUUUGAGAGGUUCUAAUGACAGUAUAUCUGUAGGUGGAGUCAUUUGAGAGGUUCUAAUGACAGUAUAUCUGUAGGUGGAGUCAUUUGAGAGGUUCUAAUGACAGUAUAUCUGUAGGUGAAGUCAUUUGAGAGGUUCUAAUGACAGUAUAUCUGUAGGUGGAGUCAUUUGAGAGGUUCUAAUGACAGUAUAUCUGUAGGUAGACUGGUAGGGGUCAAAGAGAGGCUGGGAUGUGCUGCUGGACCAACCGCUCAAAGCACUUGGUGGUCUGGUGGAAGUGCCACAGGGUGAUUGUGAUCACUCAUGUGAAUAGUUGAUAAUGACCAUCUGAUCCUUCAAGAAGGUUCCGCAGGCCUCUGCUGUAUCUAAGAGGCUGAUAACCACUGAUUACGCCCAUACAAUCGGGUGAUAACCACUGAUAACGCCCAUAAAAUUGGGUGAUAAGGUUGGAAGCGAGCUAUGCGACCCCAAGAUACAUUCUGGUUCAUGCUGUUGGUGUUUUACUGGCAACAAUAAAACAAUUUUGCACCAAA